UGACUGCUGUGGCGUCGGUGUCCCAGAGCCCCGGGGCUGGUGGUGGUCCACGGUGGCAGAGAUGACCCAAGCCGAGAAGGGGGACGCGGAGAACGGGAAGGAGAAGGGCGGGGAGAAGGAGAAGGAGCAGCGCGGCGUGAAGCGGCCCAUCGUACCCGCGUUGGUCCCCGAGUCGCUGCAGGAGGUGAGGUGCAGGGGGCUGGCCUUGGUUAGACCACUGCUAGCCUGGGCCUCUGCUGCUGGCCGGAGCCCAGGGUCCGGGCGGAGCCGGAAGCAUCCGGGUCCCCUCCCAUAGGUUCCUUGUGCAAAGUAGCGCGGUGCAGGGCAAAGCCAAGGCCGCGGUGCACAGCCUCCAGGUCUCAGCUAUAAGACGUCACGAUUUAGCAACGGCCUGGCUCUCAGGGACGCCAGCAGAUAUUCAGGGAUGGUUAGGGCUCUAACCAGUUUCUUUGUUUGCAAAUCUCACAGUGCAAGUCAUUUCACGUUUAAAAGCAGGAAAAAGGUAGCCUUUCCUUAAAUAGACAUGAAUAAUAUGGCAAUAACAGCACAAGUUUAAGUAAACAACUUGGAGCAGCAUGGCUCACACUCUCACUCACCAGGGCUUACUGAUAAGUAAAGGAAAUAAAUUCCUAUAGGGAAAUGGGCCACGGCAGUGCACAGCUCCCAGAAGAAAUAGGGAAGGAUCGGCCGUUGAGGAUUUCCUGUGGACCAUUUCAGAACCUUCUUCCUCUCCCAUAGGUGGGUUGAAAUAUCUAACUGGUAGGGCUGCAGUAAAAUGCAUAGUGUGGUGUGUGGGAUAGGCUAGUUCAGAGGACCCACAAUGUCUCUCUUCCAGCCUCGACAGGAGGGCAGAGGUCCCAGGAGGCUAGAGAUUUAGGGUGAGGUUAGAAUGGUUUUAGAGCUAUGCCAGGUUUAUCUGCAUUUCUCAACCUGUGGGUCGUAAGCCCUUUGGGGGUUGCAUAUCAGAGAUUUAUAUUAUGAUUCGUAACAGUAGCAGAAUUACAGUUACGAAGUAGCAACAAAAUAAUUUUAUGGUUGGGGGUUACCACAACAUUAGGAGCUGUGUUAAAAGGUUGCAGCGUUAGGAAGGUUCUGGGGAAGAGAGACUUGGAUCUGGAGAGGAUGUGAAGGAUUGGAGACAUAGCUGUUUAGAAUAGAGAAAGACGGUAGAGAUUUUCAGUGUCCACACAAGCUCGUAACCCAGCGUCUUCAUCGAAGCUAGUGGAGAAUUUUGGAGUGGGACGCUAACUUGAUGGCGUUGUGCUACAACGUUUUCGUUUGCAGAGCUUACACUUGAGAGCCACUCAGCUGAGUUACCAAUAAAAAGGAAAAAACAAAACCUUACUGUUUUAAGCACGUCCAGGUUUACAGUUUUAUGGUGGAUUUCAGAUUGAACAGUUAGCGUUCUCUAAGGCCGACAGUUCUACAUCCAGGCUGCCUGACUAACUCUGGCAUCCUCACAAGAACUUGAUGAGGUGUAGGGGGCUGCAUCAGAGCAAGUGGCAGGCUGAAUUUAUAGCAUAUCUUCCGGUCCCUUUUCUACACUCCAGUGAGUCUCGUCACGUGCUUUGACUAUCCCAUACCCUCUGGGGCACUUGUGCUUCAUGGACGUUUCUCAGUCUUGGGUUAAGGAAUGAAUAAUUUCCAGGAAAUGAUGAGUGGGGCAUACUACUAGGUUUCUUUCCUAACACAUUAAAAUACAUAAUUACUAAAAUAAAAAUUGUCCAU
rnacentral:lncRNA from 1 species